rnacentral:rRNA from 1 species
AUACGUAGGGGGCGAGCGUUGUCCGGAAUGAUUGGGCGUAAAGGGCGCGUAGGCGGCCCGGUAAGUCUGGAGUGAAAGUCCUGUUUUUAAGAUGGGAAUUGCUUUGGAUACUGUCGGGCUUGAGUGCAGCAGAGGUAAGUGGAAUUCCCAGUGUAGCGGUGAAAUGCGUAGAGAUUGGGAGGAACACCAGUGGCGAAGGCGACUUACUGGACUGUAACUGACGCUGAGGCGCGAAAGUGUGGGGAGCAAACAGGAUUAGAUACCCUGGUAGUCCACACUGUAAACGAUGAAUGCUAGGUGUAGGGGGUAUCGACCCCUUCUGUGCCGCAGUCAACACAAUAAGCAUUCCGCCUGGGGAGUACGGCCGCAAGGUUGAAACUCAAAUGAAUUGACGGGG